AAGAGACUCAAUGGAAUGAAAUGGAAGAGAAACAUCAAGACAUAACGACUGAUGAAAAACCCACACUCACUAAAAAGACUUCAUUACGCGGAAGACCUCGGAAAUCCAAAUCUUUUUUCAGCAGUAAACAGUGUAGAAAAAGUUUCAGUCAAAAGCCAAAGCUUGAUGUUCACAUGAGGGUUCACACAGGGGAGAAACCUUACACCUGCGAACAGUGUGGAAAGAGUUUUCCUAAAAUCCAUGGCUUUAAGGCCCACAUGAGAAUUCACAUUGGAGAGAGGCCGUACAAAUGCCAACAGUGUGGAAAGAGUUUUAAGCAAAAUAGCAACCUUGAAGUUCACAUGAGAACUCACAAUGAAGGAAGAAUUUUUACUUGCACACAGUGUGGAAAAAGUUUUGCUAAAAAACACAACCUUAACAUCCACAUGAGGAUUCACACUGGAGAGAAACCUUACACAUGCACAGAAUGUGGUCAAAGUUUCCCAUAUAAAACCACAUUCAAUAUCCACAGGAGAAUUCACACUGGAGAGAAACCUUACAGAUGCACAGAGUGUGGUAAAAGUUUCACACAUAAAACCACACUCAAUAACCAUAAGAGAACUCACACUGGAGAGAAGCCUUACAGAUGCACUGAGUGUGGUCAACGUUUCCCAUAUAAAACCACACUCAAUAACCACAUGAGAACUCACACUGGAGAGAAGCCGUUUGCAUGUGCUCAGUGUGGAAAGAGCUUCAGAGCCAAAGCUAGCCUCAUGAAUCACACGAAUCUUCACACUGGAACCAUAAAACCGUUUACAUGCACUCAGUGUGGGAAGAGUUUCAGCCAAUCAUCAUCCCUUAAGAUUCACAUGAGGAUCCACACUGGAGAGAAACCAUUCACAUGCACUCAGUGUGGGAAGAGUUUCAGCCAAUCAUCAUCCCUUAAUCUACACAUGAGGAUCCACACUGGAGAGAAACCAUUCACAUGCACUCAGUGUGGGAAGAGUUUCAGCCAAUCAUCAUCCCUUAAUCUACACGUGAGGAUCCACACUGGAGAGAAACCAUUCACAUGCCCUCACUGUGGGAAGAGUUUCAACCAAUCAUCACACCUUAACUGUCACAUGAAAAUACACACUGGAGAGAAACCAUUCACAUGCCCUCACUGUGGGAAGAGUUUCAGCCAAUCAUCAAACCUUAACUGUCACAUGACAAUCCACACUGGAGAGAAACCAUUCACAUGCACUCAGUGUGGAAAAAGUUUUACCUGCUCAUCACGCCUCUAUCAACACAUGAGGAUUCACACUGGAGAGAAACCAUUCUCAUGCACUCAGUGUGGGAAGAGUUUCAGCCAAUCAUCACACCUUAAUCAACACAUCAUGAGCCACACUGGAGAGAAACCAUUCACAUGCACUCAGUGUGGGAAGUGUUUUAACUGUUCAUCACACCUUAAUCAACACAUUAGGAUCCACAGUGGAGAGAAACCAUUUACAUGCACUCAGUGUGGGAAGAGUUUCAGCCAAUCAUCACACCUUAAUCAACACAUCAUGAGCCACACUGGAGAGAAACCAUUCAUAGACAAGAAUCAUUUCACCUGCACUCAGUGUGGAAAGAGUUUUGGAAGAAAACACAAUCUUAAGAUUCACAUGAGGAUCCACACUGGAGAGAAACCAUUCACAUGCACUCAGUGUGGGAAGAGUUUCAACCAAUCAUCAAACCUUUAUAAUCACAUGAUGAUCCACACUGGAGAGAAACCAUUCACAUGCUCUCAAUGUGGGAAAAGUUUUAACCGCUCAUCAGACCUUCAUCAACAUAUGAGGAUGAUUCACACUGGAGAGAAACCAUACACAUGCACUCAGUGUGGGAAGAGUUUUUACUGCUCAUCACACCUUCAUCAACACAUGAGGAUCCACACUGGAGAGAAACCAUUCACAUGCACUCAGUGUGGGAAGAGUUUCAGCCAAUCAUCACACUUUAAGCAACACAUGAGGAUCCACACUGAAGAGAAACCAUUCACAUGCACUCAGUGUGGGAAGAGUUUCAGCCAAUAAUCAAACCUUAAUUGACACAUGAGGAUACACACUGGAGAGAAACCAUUCACAUGCACUCAGUGUGGGAAGAGUUUCAGCCAGUCAUCACACCUUAAUCAACACAUGAGGAUCCACACUGGAGAGAAACUGGUCACAUGCACUCAGUGUGGGAGGAGUUUCAGCCAAUCAUCAUACCUUAAUAAACACAUGAUGAUCCACACUGGAGAGAAACCAUUCACUUGCACUCAGUGUGGGAAAAGUUUUAGGCAAUCAUCAUCCCUUAAUUACCACAUGAUGAUCCACACUGGAGAGAAACCAUUCACAUGCUCCCAGUGUGUGAAGAGUUUCAGUUGCUCAUCUCACCUUAAUAAACACAUGAUGAUCCACACUGGAGAGAAACCAUUCUCAUGCACUCAGUGUGGGAAGAGUUUCAGACACUCAUUAUUUCUUAAACAACACAUGAUGAUCCACACUGGAGAGAAACCAUUCACAUGCACUCAGUGUGGGAAGAGUUUCAGCCAAUCAUCAUCCCUUAAUCACCACAUGAGGAUCCACACUGGAGAGAAACCAUUCACAUGCACUCAGUGUGGGAAGAGUUUCAUACAAUCAUCACAACUUAACCGACACAUCAUGAUCCACACUGGAGAGAAACCAUUCACAUGCACUCAGUGUGGGAAGAGUUUCAGCCAAUCAUCAAACUUUAAUCUACACAUGAUGAUCCACACUGGAGAGAAACCAUACACAUGCACUCACUGUGGGAAGAGUUUCAGCAAAUCAUCAUCCCUUAAUGAACACAUGACUAUCCACUCUGGAGAGAAACCAUUCACAUGCACUCAGUGUAGGAAGAGUUUCAGUUGCUCAUCUCACCUUAAUCACCACAUGAGGAUCCACACUGGAGAGAAACCAUUCACAUGCACUCAGUGUGGAAAUCGCUUCAGCCGAUCAUCAAACCUUAAUCAACACAUGAUGAUCCACACUGGAGAGAAACCAUUCACUUGCACUCAGUGUGGGAAGAGUUUCAGCCAAUCAUCAUCCCUUAAUCACCACAUGAGGAUCCACACUGGAGAGAAACCAUUUACAUGCACUCAGUGUGGGAAGAGUUUCAUACAAUCAUCACAACUUAACCGACACAUGAGGAUCCACACUGGAGAGAAACCAUUUACUUGCACCUAAUGUGGAAAGAGUUUGUCAAGCAAAAGCAAACUUAAGAUUCACAUGAGGAUCCACACUGGAGAGAAACCAUUUACUUGCACUCAAUGUGGGAAAACUUUCAGGCAAUCAUCAUCCCUUAAUCAACACAUGAGGAUCCACACUGGAGAGAAACCAUUCACAUGCACUCAAUGUGGAAAGAGUUUCAGGCAAUUAUCAUCCCUUAAUCAACACAUGAGGAUCCACACUGGAGAGAAACUAUUCACCUGCACUCAGUGUGGAAAGAGUUUGUCAAGCAAAAGCAAACUUAAUAUUCACAUGAGGAUCCACACUGGAGAGAAACCAUUUACUUGCACUCCGUGUGGGAAGAGUUUUAACUGCUUAUCACACCUUAAUCAACACACAAGGAUCCACACUGGAGAGAAACCAUUCACAUGCAAUCAGUGUGGGAAGAGUUUUAACUGCUUAUCACACCUUAAUCAACACACGAGGAUCCACACUGGAGAGAAACCAUUCACAUGCAGUCAGUGUGGGAAGAGUUUCGGCCAAUCAUCAUCCCUUAAUCUACACAUGACGAGCCACACCAGAGAGAAACCAUUCACCUGCACUCAGUGUGGGAAGAGUUUUACCCUAUCAUCAGACCUUAAUAAACACAUGAAGACCCAUACUGACAAGAAUCAUUUCACCUGCACUCAGUGUGGAAAGAGUUUUGGAAGAAAAGGCGAUCUUAAGAUUCACAUGAGGAUCCACACUGGAGAGAAACCAUUCACAUGCAACCAGUGUGGGAAGAGUUUCAGCCAAGAAUCAAACCUUAAUCUACACAUGAGGAUCCACAUUGGAGAGAAACCAUUCACAUGCAUUCAGUGUAGGAAGAGUUUUAACUUUUCAUCAAACCUUCAUCAACACAUGAGGAUCCACACUGGAGAGAAACCAUUCACAUGCAACCAGUGUGGGAAGAGUUUCAGCCAAAAAUCAAACCUUAAUCUACACAUGAGGAUCCACACUAGAAAGAAACCAUUCAAAUGCACUCAAUGUGGGAAGAGUUUCAACCGCUCAUCAGACCUUUAUAAACACAUGAGAAUCCACACUGGAGAGAAACCAUUCACAUGCACUCAGUGUGAGAAGAGUUUUAACUUUUCAUCAAACCUUCGUCGACACAUGAGGAGCCACACUGGAGAGAAACCAUUCACAUGCACUCAGUGUGGGAAGAGUUACAACCACAUAUCACACCUUAAUCAACACAUGAGGAUCCACACUGGAGAGAAACCAUUCACAUGCCCUCAGUGUGGGAAGAGUUUCAGCCAAUCAUCACACCUUAAUAAACACAUCAUGAGCCACACUGGAGAGAAACCAGACAAGAAUUGUUUCACCUGCACUCAGUGUGGAAAGAUUUUGGCAAGCAAAAGCAAACUUAAGAUUCACAUGAUAAUCCAUACUGGAGAGAAACCAUUCACGUGCACUCAGUGUGGGAAGAGUUUCCGCCAAGCAUCAUCACUUAAUAAACACAUGAGGAUCCACACUGGAGAGAAACCAUUCACAUGCACUCAGUGUGGAAUAAGUUUUAACUGCUCAUCAUACCUUAAACAACACAUGAGGAUCCACACUGGAGAGAAACCAUUCACUUGCACUCAGUGUGGGAGGAGUUUCAACCGCUCAUCACACCUUAAUCACCACAUGAGGAUCCACACUGGAGAGAAACCAUUUACUUGCACUCAGUGUGGGAAGAGUUUUAACCGCUCAUCAAACCUUGAUCAACACAUAAGGAUCCACACUGGAGAGAAACCAAUAACGUGCACUCUAUGUGGGAAGAGUUUUCGCCAAUCAUCAUCCCUUUCUAAACACAUGAGGACCCACACUGGAGAGAAACCAUUUACUUGCACUCAGUGUGGGAAGAGUUUUCGCCAAUCAUCAUCCCUUUAUAGACACAUGAGGAUCCACACUGGAGAGAAACCAUUCACAUGCACUCAGUGUGGGAAGAGUUUCAGCCAAUCAUCAAACUUUAAUCUACACAUGAGGAUCCACACUGGAGAGAAACCAAUAACGUGCACUCAGUGUGGGAAGAGUUUUCACCAAUCAUCAUCCCUUUAUAAACACAUGAGGAUCCACACUGGAGAGAAACCAUUCACAUGCACUCAGUGUGGGAAGAGUUUCAGCCGAUUAUCACACCUUAAUCGACACAUGAUGAUCCACACUGGAGAGAAACCAUUCACAUGCAAUCAGUGUGGGAAGAGUUUCAGCCGAUUAUCACACCUUAUUCGACACAUGAUGAUCCACACUGGAGAGAAACCAUUCACAUGCUCUCAGUGUAGAAAGAGUUUCAGCAUCUUAUCAUCGCUUUACAGACACAUGAGGAUCCACACUGGAGAAAAACCAUUCACAUGCACUCAGUGUGGGAAAAGUUUUCGCCAAUCAUCAAAUCUUAAUCUACACAUGAUGAUCCACACUGGAGAGAAACCAUUCAAAUGCACUCAGUGUGGGAAGAGUUUCAGCCAAUCAUCACACCUUAAUCAACACAUCAUGAUCCACACUGGAGAGAAACCAUUCAAAUGCACUCAGUGUGGGAAGAGUUUCAUCCAAUCAUCAUCCCUUAAUCAACACAUGAUGAUCCACACUGGAGAGAAACCAUUCACAUGCCCUAAGUGUGGGAAGAGUUUCAGGAAAUCAUCCCAAUCAUCAUCCCUUAAUAAACACAUGAGGAUCCACACUGGAGAGAAACCAUUCACAUGCACUCAGUGUGGGAAGAGUUUCAACCAAACAUCAUCCCUUAAAGAUCACAUGAGGAUCCACACUGGAGAGAAACCAUUUACAUGCCCUAAGUGUGGGAAGAGUUUCAACCAAUCAUCACACCUUAAUCACCACAUGAGGAUCCACACUGGAGAGAAACCAUUUACUUAAACUCAGUGUGGAAAGAGUUUCAGCCGACCAUCAUCCCUUAAUAAACACAUGAAGAUCCACACUGGUGUGAGAGCGUAUAUGUGCUUGAAGUGUAAGAAGACUUUUAUUACAGCUGAAGAUUUGAAACGGCACCAGAGAAUUCACACUGGGUAAAAAAACCUACAAGUGUUCACAGUGCAGUAAGAGGUUUACUCACUCACAAACCCUGAAAACACAUGAGAGGAUUCACACUGGAGGUAAACCAUAGACAUGAUCAGUGUGUACAGAGUUUCACAAAUUUGGGGAAGCUUAAGACAUGGGAUGGUUUCCGGUAUGGCAUCAACAGGUGUUGCAGAAUAGAAAGAGCGCUCCCAUACACACUGGUAUUAAUCCUUUUUUUACAUCAUAUAUGAUAACCUAAACCAUGUUUAAAUAACAUGGAGGGGGACAAAAACAAAAAGGCUUGGACAAAACAACCAUUGAAACCUAAAAAAAAAACUAGAAAUCAACAGAUGAAAAAUCAGAGACAGACGGGAUAGCUGAUAGCCUGUAAGCUAGCAUUCCAGCAAUACAUACAGACAUCAAAGUAUUCCAGAUGGAUAUUAAAUUUGAUUUAACCGCCUUCCAAGAUUCUCUCGCAAAAGAUGUGAAAAUGGAACUAAGUAACUUUAAAUAAGAAGUCAAUUAAAAACCGGAUGGCCUGAUCACGGACCUAAACGCAACAGCAGAAAAGGUCAACGAAGUGAGGAAGCGAGUUGGAGAAUUGGAGAACGUUGCUUAGAUAAAAGAAAUUCUUGGUCAAACCAUACAAAUUAAGACAUGAAGAAAACUAUUAAGAGAAACUGUUAUAUCUAGAAGCACGCUCCCGUAGAAAUAAUAUUCAGAUUUUUUGAAUCCCGGAAGGAAGCAAAGGGAAUAAUAUCCAAGAUCCAAGUGGAAAUGUUUAUCAAAACGAACUGUCACUUGACGAAAUAGAUCUUAAAAUCCGACAAUGUCAACAGAGGCAUCAAGAGAUCUGAAAGAAAAAGGACUAAUAAACAGCAAAGAAGAAACUAUUAUAGGAAUCGUUCGAGGUUACAGAAGUAACCCUUCGUUCCCCGAGGAGGGGA